rnacentral:tRNA from 1 species
GGGCGAAUAGUUCAGUGGUAGAAUGUCCGCUUCGCAUGCGGAGGGUCCUGGGUUCAAACCCCAGUUCGUCCA